GGCUUCAUAGCUCAGGUUGGUAGAGCAGCGCACCGGUAAUGCGGAGGACAUGGCUUCAAAUCCCGUCGAAGCUC